rnacentral:rRNA from 1 species
AUUGAACGCUGGCGGCAGGCCUAACACAUGCAAGUCGAGCGGAUGAAGAGAGCUUGCUCUCUGAUUCAGCGGCGGACGGGUGAGUAAUGCCUAGGAAUCUGCCUGGUAGUGGGGGACAACGUUUCGAAAGGAACGCUAAUACCGCAUACGUCCUACGGCAGAAAGUGGGGGAUCUUCGGACCUCACGCUAUCAGAUGAGCCUAGGUACGAUUAGCUAGUUGGUGAGGUAAAGGCCCACCAAGGCGACGAUCGGUAACUGGUCUGAGAGGAUGAUCAGUCACACUGGAACUGAGACACGGUCCAGACUCCUACGGGAGGCAGCAGUGGGGAAUAUUGGACAAUGGGCGAAAGCCUGAUCCAGCCAUGCCGCGUGUGUGAAGAAGGUCUUCGGAUUGUAAAGCACUUUAAGUUGGGAGGAAGGGCAGUAAGUUAAUACCUUGCUGUUUUGACGUUACCGACAGAAUAAGCACCGGCUAACUUCGUGCCAGCCGCCGCCGUAAAAC